AUUGAACGCUGGCGGCAUGCCUUACACAUGCAAGUCGAACGGCAGCACGGGAGCAAUCCUGGUGGCGAGUGGCGAACGGGUGAGUAAUAUAUCGGAACGUGCCCAGUCGUGGGGAUAACGUAGCGAAAGCUACGCUAAUACCGCAUACGAUCUAUGGAUGAAAGCGGGGGAUCGCAAGACCUCGCGCGAUUGGAGCGGCCGAUAUCAGAUUAGGUAGUUGGUGAGGUAAAGGCUCGCCAAGCCGACGAUCUGUAGCUGGUCUGAGAGGACGACCAGCCACACUGGGACUGAGACACGGCCCAGACUCCUACGGGAGGCAGCAGUGGGGAAUUUUUGGGACAAUGGGCGCAAGCCUGAUCCAGCAAUGCCGCGUGCAGGAUGAAGGCCUUCGGUUGGUAACGU
rnacentral:rRNA from 1 species